GACGUAGGGCGCGAGCGUUGUCCGGAUUUAUUGGGCGUAAAGAGCUCGUAGGCGGCUUGUCGCGUCGAAUGUGAAAUCUCAGGGCUCAACUCUGACAUUGCAUUCGAUACGGGCAGGCUCGAGUUCGGUAGGGGAGACUGGAAUUCCUGGUGUAGCGGUGGAAUGCGCAGAUAUCAGGAGGAACACCGAUAGCGAAGGCAGCUCGCUGGGACGGUACUGACGCUGAGGUGCGAAAGCGUGGGGAGCGAACAGG
rnacentral:rRNA from 1 species